rnacentral:rRNA from 1 species
CCUACGGGGCGCAGCAGUGGGGGAUAUUGCACAAUGGGGGGAACCCUGAUGCAGCGACGCCGCGUGGGUGAAGAAGCGCCUCGGCGUGUAAAGCCCUGUCAGCAGGGAAGAAAAUGACGGUACCUGAAGAAGAAGCCCCGGCUAACUACGUGCCAGCAGCCGCGGUAAUACGUAGGGGGCAAGCGUUAUCCGGAUUUACUGGGUGUAAAGGGAGCGUAGACGGCAGAGCAAGUCUGAAGUGAAAGCCCGCGGCCCAACUGCGGGACUGCUUUGGAAACUGCCCGGCUAGAGUGCUGGCGAGGUAA